CGCAUCUGUGCAUGCAGCAUAUCAAUAAGCGGAGGAAAAGAAACUAACAAGGAUUCCCUUAGUAACGGCGAGUGAAGCGGGAAGAGCUCAAAUUUGAGAUCUUCAAGGUUUUACCUUGACGAAUUGUAGUUUAAAGAAGUGUUUUCUGUUGAAGUUUUGGUAAAAGUUCUUUGGAAUAGGACAUCAUAGAGGGUGAGAAUCCCGUAUUUGACCAUUAUUUUCAGCUGUGUGAUACACUUUCAAAGAGUCGGAUUGUUUGGGAAUGCAGUCCAAAAUGGGUGGUAAAUUUCAUCUAAAGCUAAAUAUUGGCGAGAGACCGAUAGCGAACAAGUACCGUGAGGGAAAGAUGAAAAGAACUUUGAAAAGAGAGUUAAACAGUACGUGAAAUUGUCAAAAGGGAAGCGUUUGACACCAGUGUUGUUUUCUCGAAAAUCAAUUAAAAAGAGUUAGAUUUUGUUGUGUAUUGACCUUAACAGCUUGCAUUUCAAUUUUCUUGCUUUUUUUAAUGCACUUUUCGUUUAACAAGUCAACAUCAGUUUCUUUUGUUGUAAAAAGGUCAUUGGAAGGUGGCUUUCUUUUCGGAGAAAGUGUUUAUAGCCUUUGACUCCUGCAAUCGGAGAGACUGAGGUCUGCAGCGUAGAUCCUUCGGGGUUAGAUACAUUUGUGCUAAGUUAUAGCUUUUUAUAGACAACUUGUUGACUAUGAUUAGUCUUGUAGCUUACUCGCUUAUGCUAUUUUACCUACACUUAGGAUGUUGAUGUGAUACUGCGAGCA
rnacentral:rRNA from 1 species